rnacentral:lncRNA from 1 species
UUUUGCUGUUGUUGUUGUUUGUUUUUGUGAUUGCUCUUAUGUCGGUAGGUAAUGUCAGGAAAAGUGACUGUUUCAGAUCCCCAGUACAAACAUCAGAACUAGGAUCAAAUGACUUGACUUUUAAGCUGUUCCAUUUUCUAAGAAGUUACAAUUACAAAAAGUAAGCAUUUUCUACAUUCUUACUUCUAAGUAAUGACCUUCUCAUUAAUCUUUCCUUGGCUUAAAAUGACAAAUAAGAAUCCAAAGUUUUUCCACUCCUCCUGUGGGAGAUAGGAAUAGUUGUGAAGAGUCUGAUGGAAUAAAAUGACUCCAGAGAUUUACACAGCCACCAUUUGAUCCCAGCCUUUGUCCUUGUGUUAUUUAAACAAUGGCUUCCUGCUUUCUCAGGGGUCAGGAAAAUGAUUUAAAAAUUUGUCUUCUUGACAAGGCCUGAAAACGAAGGGAGGUGUCGUGGAGAAAUGGUGAUUUUUCUGGUUACAUCACUUGAUUCAAGCACUCCCUGGAGCUUUCAAAGCCUUUUUUAUCUGCUCAGAGUUGACACCCAACUCAGAGUCAGAACUCACCAGAAGAUGAGGAACACCCCCGAAAUCAAUGUUUCCUUUCUCCAUGGGAUUUUUUUCAAUCUUGGUACAGCUGCAUAUCUCCCAAACUCGGAUGCUCUUGUGAAAUGACAGCCACAUCAGUGUGGUUACUCCCCACAAAUAACACUAGGGGGAAAUGACCUUUUUUAUUUAAAAAAAAAAAAAAGGCUAAUGCUAUAGAAUGAUCAUGUAAAGAAUGUUGAAUAAAAUUUGGCCCAUGUUUUAAUUGACUCUAGGCACCUCUAUUGAAAUAAGUCUGAGGCAUAGUUUGUGAAACAUGUUUCAAAAGUGUUUGAUGUAUAAUAAAUGCUAGAAAUUUACAGUACAGAAAUAGUAAAAAAAUAAAAUAAAAAUAAACCUGUAGAUUACAGCUCUGUUCCUAAGAACCUCAGCCUUUAUUGUGUCUUAGUAAAGUUGAUCUGCUUUAUUUUUAGUUUAUUGAAUUUCUGGUGUACUAGCCUCUUAAGAUAGAACUUUUAAUACAUAUGUACUGGUUAAUGCCUGUUUACGCAGAAAAUGGCACUUUGUUCUUUCAGUGUGUUUCCCUCAGUGUCACAGGGUAUAUCAAUUUGAUAGAUCAUUUGACAUUUGUCAAAAAUACGUUUCCCAUUUUAAAAAUAUGUAUAAUUGGUUGCAUAGACAUAUGUCACUUUUUGCAGUGUCUUCAUCUUGAUCAUAGUUUUAGACAUCAACUAUGUCUCACUUUCCAACUGCCAUAGAAAUUUGGUACAUUUGCAAAUUCUGGUGGAAUCUAGUGAGCUGAAUGUAUUGGUAGAUCAAAUGAUCCAAAGGACUUGGGUGUUAUCCUUCAGUCUGUGUUGAACCAUUCAGAUAUUGGGAAUGGUCCUUACACAAGGGAAGUCUUUUGAGAAUAUUUGUUCUCUUAUUUUUUGUUUGUUUGUUGCUGGCAAAAAAAAAAGUAACUUUAAAAACUCAGAAAAGCCACUGAACUGUAUUUUGUGACCUUAUGAUUAGUUUUAUCUUUCAACUGAUUUUUAUUGUUACUUUUACUCAAUAUCAACAGUACUUCAAUAGAUAUUUAUUAGUUAUGUUCAAUCUAAUGACUUAAAACAGUUGAAAAGGAGGAAAAUCAACUCCAGUCCACACAUACAGUCAUGUUACAUUAAGAUGUCAUGUUGUAUGUCACACAGUUUCUAGAUUGAUUUCUCUUGUGUAUAAGUUAUAACAUCAAAAAUGCCAAAGGGUAUAUAAAAUAAGCUACAAUAAUAUUCAACAGAACUUAACCUGGACCUUAUGUUGUAAUAAUUUAUUCAUAUUAGCUGUAGUCUUCUGUAUUUAUAUUUUCAGUAUUUAUUAUGAAUGACAUGGAAAUUCGUGUAUUUAUUGUGGCUUUUUAUUGCAGUGUGUAUAUAUAUAUAACAAAUAAGCAUUUUUAAGUCUUAUCCUUAAGUUUCUUUUAUUAGUGGCACUUGUAUUAUGCUGUACUUUUUAUUACAUAUUGUACAAUAUCUUGUCCAUUUGUUUGCAGCAGAGUAAAACCGGUUUCUAAGUUGU